GCUUCCAUAGCUCAAUCGGAUAGAGCGUUGGUCUACGGAACCAAAGGUUGGGGGUUCGAAUCCCUCUGGAAGUAC
rnacentral:tRNA from 1 species